rnacentral:rRNA from 1 species
UCUUGGCCAGCCUUCUGAAAGGAAGAUUAAUACAAGAUGGCAUCAUGAGUCCGCAUGUUCACAUGAUUAAAGGUAUUCCGGUAGACGAUGGGGAUGCGUUCCAUUAGAUAGUAGGCGGGGUAACGGCCCACCUAGUUUUCGAUGGAUAGGGGUUCUGAGAGGAAGGUCCCCCACAUUGGAACUGAGACACGGUCCAAACUCCUACGGGAGGCAGCAGUGAGGAAUAUUGGUCAAUGGGCGAGAGCCUGAACCAGCCAAGUAGCGUGAAGGAUGACUGCCCUAUGGGUUGUAAACUUCUUUUAUAAAGGAAUAAAGUCGGGUAUGGAUACCCGUUUGCAUGUACUUUAUGAAUAAGGAUCGGCUAACUCCGUGCCAGCAGCCGCGGUAAUACGGAGGAUCCGAGCGUUAUCCGGAUUUAUUGGGUUUAAAGGGAGCGUAGAUGGAUGUUUAAGUCAGUUGUGAAAGUCUGCGGCUCAACCGUAAAAUUGCAGUUGAUACUGGAUAUCUUGAGUGCAGUUGAGGCAGGCGGAAUUCGUGGUGUAGCGGUGAAAUGCUUAGAUAUCACGAAGAACUCCGAUUGCGAAGGCAGCCUGCUAAGCUGCAACUGACAUUGAGGCUCGAAAGUGUGGGUAUCAAACAGGAUUAGAUACCCUGGUAGUCCACACGGUAAACGAUGAAUACUCGCUGUUUGCGAUAUACUGCAAGCGGCCAAGCGAAAGCGUUAAGUAUUCCACCUGGGGAGUACGCCGGCAACGGUGAAACUCAAAGGAAUUGACGGGGGCCCGCACAAGCGGAGGAACAUGUGGUUUAAUUCGAUGAUACGCGAGGAACCUUACCCGGGCUUAAAUUGCAGAUGAAUUACGGUGAAAGCCGUAAGCCGCAAGGCAUCUGUGAAGGUGCUGCAUGGUUGUCGUCAGCUCGUGCCGUGAGGUGUCGGCUUAA